GCGGAUGUGGCGGAACUGGCAUACGCAGCAGCCCAAGGAGCUGUGCCGAAAGGCGUGGGGGUUCGAAUCCUCUCAUCCGCACUA
rnacentral:tRNA from 1 species